GGAGUUAGCCGGUGCUUCUUCUGUGAGUGAUGUCCUUCCUGCCGGUUAUUGACCCGCAGGCCUUCUUCCUCACUGAAAGUGCUUUACAACCCGAAGUCCUUCUUCACACACGCGGCAUGGCUGGAUCAGGGUUGCCCCCAUUGUCCAAUAUUCCCCACUGCUGCCUCCCGUAGGAGUCUGGGCCGUGUCUCAGUCCCAGUGUGGCUGAUCAUCCUCUCAGACCAGCUACGGAUCGUCGCCUUGGUGAGCCGUUACCUCACCAACCAGCUAAUCCGACAUAGGCUCAUCCGAUAGCGCGAGGCCCGAAGGUCCCCCGCUUUCCCCCGUAGGGCGUAUGCGGUAUUAGCCUGGGUUUCCCCAGGUUAUCCCCCACUACCGGGCAGAUUCCUAUGCAUUACUCACCCGUCCGCCGCUCGCCACCAGGGAGCAAGCUCCCCGUGCUGCCGCUCGACUUGCAUGUGUUAGGCCUGCCGCCAGCGUUCAAUCUGAGCCAGGAUCAAACUCUGA
rnacentral:rRNA from 1 species